CCCCCAUGAGGAAACCCUCACCUGUCUGACCCCCCCGCUGGGCCCAGGUCCUGCAAAGGUUGAACCCCCUGGAGCCCUCGGGGGGAAAAGAGGAGGAGCUGUCCCAGAGGGGACGGUCUGAGGGGG
ensembl:snoRNA SNORD22 Small nucleolar RNA SNORD22